UUCUUAUAACAUAGCGUCAAUGCACUGGAUCCCAUUAGAACUCCGCAAUUAGGCAUUCUCGACCUAGAGUAGUACUAGGAUGGGUGACCGCCUGGCAAGUCCUAUUAUUUUAUGCGC
rnacentral:rRNA from 1 species